rnacentral:lncRNA from 13 species
AUAAAGAGAAAAAGAGUACAGUUCUAGUGCUUUCAUGAUAUUGAUUUCCAAGGUUGUGAAGUGGUUACAUGUACACAUAGACAAGUGUACAGAUGGUAAAUGAGCCAUCAGUCCAUGCUUCAUUUGUUCAUAGGUGAAACCAGUGGGAUUUCCUUCUGAGACUGGCUGUUUCCCUGUGUCCUUAAACAGAGCCUGGGAUGGAAGCAUGUCCCUCUACGUAUCAGUAACAUGAGAUCCCUGGCAUCUCUUCAGUGUAAGCCGUUAGUGUCUCUUUCCCUUGAAGACUUUUAUCUCUCUGCAGAAGUCAAGGCUGACAACAAAG